rnacentral:rRNA from 1 species
AUUGAACGCUGGCGGCAGGCCUAACACAUGCAAGUCGAACGAGUGGCGGACGGGUGAGUAAUGUGUGGGAAACCGCCUGAUGGAGGGGUAUAACUACUGGACACGGUAGCUAAUACCGUAUACCAUCGGAUGUGCCCAGAUGGGAUUAGCUAGUUGGUGGGGUAAAGGCACACCUAGGCGACGAUCCCUAGCUGGUCUGAUAGGAUGACCAGCAACCCUGGAACGGAGACACGGUCCAGACUACUACGGGAGGCAGCAGUGGGGAAUAUUGAACAAUGGGCGCAAGCCUGAUGCAGCCAUGCAGCGUGUGUGAAGAAGGUCUUCGGGUUGUAAAGCACUUUAAGUUGGGAGGCGUUACCAACAGAAUAAGCACCGGCUAACUUCGUGCCAGCAGCCGCGGUAAUUC